AGCGAACGUUUGCGGCGGGCCUAACACAUGCAAGUCGAACGCACUAGCAAUAGUGAGUGGCGCACGGGUGCGUAACACGUGGGUAAUCAACCCUUCAGCCUGGGAUAACGACUCGAAAGGGUCGCUAAUACCGGAUACGGCGCGAGAGGCUUCGGCUUCUCACGAGAAAGCCACGCAAGGGGCACUGAAGGACGAGCCUGCGGCCCAUCAGCUAGUUGGUGAGGUAAGAGCUCACCAAGGCUAAGACGGGUAGCUGGUCUGAGAGGAUGAUCAGCCACACUGGAACUGAGACACGGUCCAGACUCCUACGGGAGGCAACAGUGGGGAAUAUUGCGCAAUGGGCGAAAGCCUGACGCAGCCACGCCGCGUGAGCGAUGAAGGCCUCGGUC
rnacentral:rRNA from 1 species